CUUAAUUAUGAGGUUUUCGUCAAUUCCGGUAAUAGAAGAAGAAAGAGAAGCAUUUUUGAAAAAGGUUCUACUAGUGUUCCCGACAUUUGUGGAUCCGAACCCUGGUUUAGGUUUAUCCACUGUUAAGCCCAUUUGUUUCUUAAAUUCCGAUUGUAUCCUUUUUUUCGUUUCUUCAAAGAUUAAUUUAUUUUCUUUAGUUCUCACUUUCCAGCAUUUUAUAGGUAACCUAUACACAAUGUGCAACAAACACUCAAAUGUCCUAAUCCACAAAUGAAGGGAUGAUAUACCAAAUCUAAGGUUGUCCGGUUUUAUUGUUUUUUUUAUAAACUUCAAAGGAAUUCAUUUCUAUGGGUGAAGCACCACAAAUAACGCAUCUUUGCGAACUGUGAGUGUCUGAUAAUAUAUUUACAGUACUACCGUCCAGCAUAGAUAAAAUCAUGUCAUAAUUUAUGCAUAGUUCUAUUCCUUUAAAGUUUAAACUAAAAUCUUUAAGAUUAUUUAUAUUAGUUUCUAGUUCUUUUUCUCCUUUUACCAGAGGAGCAUUUUCUUUUAAAAAUACUCGGUCCAUCCUGCAGUAUUACGAAUUAAGUCAGUAUCUAAACCUGAUCUGAAUGCCGCUGAGGUACUUGCAUGACGCACGCUGUGACUUUUAAAAAUAGUAGUAUCUAUUUUACUUUUCUCUAAAACUGUUUUUAUCCACCAGCUUUUAGUCUGCGUAGAAGCCGAGUGAUGUGGUUUUUUAUGUGUCAAAAUUAAUGUGUCAUUAUUACCUCGAAUAGAAUUUGUUCGUUUUACGUAAUUAUUCAGUGUACUGGCUAUAUACCAUUCGGGUUUGUCCUUAAAAUAAGGAAAAACAAGACAUGGUUGUUUCCUGUUCUUGCCCGAAGUCUUGAUCUUUGCAGGUAUACAAAUUUCCAUCUUUUGUGCAUCUUGGUGAAUGUUAUUUAAAGUAAUUUUAUAUAUGAGGCCGUAAUUAUAAAAAUGAGGCAUUUACUUUCAAGUUAAAGGUAGAAGUAAAAGGUUUUACUACAAUUCGUAUUUACAAUCUCUACCUUUUUCUUGCAAGGAAAUGCUUUGGUUAAAUAAAGUAAAAGGUACAGAGAUACAAUUAUAACUUUAGUAAUACUGGUAAAUUUCACUCUGCAUCCAUACUUUAGAAUAGGAAAUCGCCGUUUCAGAUGCCCAACUAUAUGCUCAAUCACAACUCUCUCUGAUUUAAGCAGCCUGUUGAAGGCUAUCUGAUAUUCCUCGAGGGGGUUGGGAUGGGGAGUCAUGAGACAUGACAUUAUACCAUAUUCAUUGUUCCCUAGUAGUAUAGUGUUUCUUGUCCUGUUCAUGACUUCACAUACUGCCGAAUUCUUCCAUAUACGAGAAUCAUGAACUGAUCCAGGCCAACUUGCAUCUAUACUAGUUAUAACACAAUUUUGGUCGCAUGUGGCCUGCACAUUAAUACUGAUAAAACCUUUUCGAUUUAUAUAUUCGUGUCCAAAUUGAGCUGGCUUUUCAAUACGAAUGUGCAUGCAGUCAAGAAUCCCAAUGGCUGUUUGGGAAAUUGAACCUGGUCAACCAUUUUUCUUUGGCCUGCAUGAUUUGAUUUUCUGUGUUUGGGAACCGAAUCCAUUCGCCAGCCUGUGGUACAAGCUGCUCAAGCACCUCAUGAAAUAUUCUGGACACUGUGGGCUGCGUACAUCCCAAUUCUUCAGCAAUUCAGCUCUGGAAUCCAGGAUUCGCACAAUAACGCAGAAAUACUUUCAUUUUCUGCACAGGUGAUAGGGCUGCUCCACGUGUUUCAAGAUCCGCGCCAAGAAAGUGGUCCGCCAACCACACCACAUUCUCCUUCUCAAAUCUAAAUAUAUAACGUUUUGAAAUCCGAUUCACGUGGUAUGUCUUGGUUUGUAGUAUUUUCGUGUACGGAAAUGCACCAUAUUAGCCAUAACAAACACAACACUGAAACCACACAACCAAAGAUUACUAGGUAGAUGUUAACAUACAAAAACACUACUACAAAUAGACAAUUUUUUCCGACGUUCCGAGCUUUUUGAUGGUUGGCCAACUACUGAAAAGAGUGAGAAAAGUUGUUGUGAACCUAGAUUCCUUUUUUAGAAGUAAAACCUUUAUUUUUUAAGCAAAUGCCUUUUUGUAAAUACGAAAAACAAAAGACCUUUUACUUUAAAGCAAAUCCAUCGAAGACCUUUUCCUUCAAUUUUCUUUAUGCAUAUACCUUGAAGGAAUUGCUUCAUUUUUUGAAAGCAAUAGGUACGGCUUUUUUUAUAAAUACAGCCUAUGGUCUGGCCUCUAUGAGUGUUUUCCAAAGGAAAAAGUGAGCUUAAAAAUUCUAAAACUGGACUCGGGUCCCAUGUAACCGAAUAUCUCGGAGAAGCACGAUUUUGAUUGUAAACUCCUUUAAAAAACUUUUUUAAUAUUUUUUCGUCUUCUGAUGAGAUUGAUAUCUUGGGCGUACAGCGAAAAUCCACUAAGUCGCAUUUUUGGUUGAAUUGGAUUAAACACACCACUAUGUCCAGUUUUUCACGGUCUUUAACAUGAAAAACCCAUUAAUGGGUUUUUCAUAAUUCAAUCAACCAAUCUCAUAAUUUAAUCAACCAAAAAUGUGACUUAGUGGAUUUUCGCUGUAGCGCCCACGAUAUUAUAUUAAGCAACGCUGAUCGGUAAUGAAUUAAGCGUUGAAUGAGAAAGACCAGUGUUAAAUUUUUUAUAGAGAAAAACUAGUAUUUUAUUGAAAUUAUACUGAUAAGGAUUAGCUCUUUGUUCUCUGCAGAAAUCGCACCAUUUUGUAUAAAAGGUUGUAUAUUGUUUUAAUGUGCUUUCAGGAAAAACAGCUAACAUGAUUGGAAUGGUUUCUUCUGGUAUUUUCUUUUGUUUCAGUGAUUGGUAGAUAACUUCCCUGCCACCAGGGAAAGAGUAUAUCAUAUAUAAUAUAUCAUAAAUGAUGAUGCGAUGAAAAAAUUCGUUGAUGCUCGAAAACUUCAAGACGUGCUUCGCAGCCAUUCUGUAAACAAAGAUACGAACUUAACCUCAAUUCACUUUAAUUUGCUUUUAAAAAAGUUUUAAGCAUCUUACCUUCACAAACGUCAUCGCAUCAACGAACGACGCAGCAAGCGACAAUAAGAUGAUUAAGAGAGGAGUAAAUGCCUUAGAGUCAGAUCAUGUUUUGCAUAUGCAAUUUGAUGCUGAACUGAUGAUUUUGAAAGGGAAAGUACAAGCUAGCAUGAAAGACAAAACUUAUAAUGUAGAGGUAUUUUUGAAUACUUCAGGUGAUAUCGCUGAGGCAAAGUGUUCUUGUCCGAAAGGAAUUAAGUGUCACCAUAUUGCGGCUUUGGUGUUGUUUGGGCAUUACCACAUUUCAAUUACAGACAAGGAAUGUACUUGGAAUGCCCCAAAAACAAAAUCAAGUGAGGUGAAGACGGCUGGACAAGUAGCUUGUAUCCAAGCAAAGAAUACAAAGCUAUAAGUCAUGUGCUUUUGGAGAAUGAAAGUGAUGAUCUGAGAACCAAAUUAAGCAAGUUUGGCAGUACCGUGCGAUUUUCUUGGCUUCUGCAAAAGGAGAGGACUACAGUUAUCUUCCGCUCAUCGAAGAUAUAAUUUCUUCAGAGGAAUUUGUUCAGGCCUCAAACAAAGCUGACUUCUUACAUCAGAAAUGCCCUUUGGAUGAUGCAGCAGUGUAACACAUUGCCGAAAUAACUGUAGGACAGGCCCAGAAUGAAAUUUGGCUGAUUAUGAGGAAGUUCCGCCUAACAGCAAGUAAUUUUGGAGCAGUAAUCAAUGCCUGCCAAAGAAAGAAGUUUCCUGAAAGUCUAUUCAAGUCUCUUAUUGAUGGAGUUAAAGCUAUCCAAUGGGGGGAGAAGCAACUAAAAAAGGGGAAUCAACUAUAUCGAGACCAACUUGGGGUUAAAAGUAGAACCUACCGGAAUUUGGUGUUCAAAUUCAGGGAUUUUAGAAGCCAGUCCUGAUGGAUUUAUAGGAGAAGUCAUCAGUCAAUCAUUGUCGAGGUAAAGUGUCCAUACACAUAUCGGAAUGACAUAUUAUCCGAAAAGUUGAAAAAUGUCACCACUUAUAUAAUAUAUUUCAAUGAAGACAACAAUAUUGUUUUAAAUUGUAACCACAAUUAUUACAACCAAAUAGAGGGUAAUUUACACUUGACCAAAAGAAAGAUUUUUUUUAUGUAUUUGGACAGUUAAAGAAGCGAUUGUAGUUAGUGUGGAAAUUGAUAAUGGUUGGGC